GGUUCUAUAGUAAAAUCUUAUAAUAUUAGAUUGCAAAUCUAAAGAUGUGCUGGGCACUGGAACUU
rnacentral:tRNA from 1 species